GUAACACGUGGGUAACCUGCCCAUAAGACUGGGAUAACUCCGGGAAACCGGGGCUAAUACCGGAUAACAUUUUGAACUGCAUGGUUCGAAAUUGAAAGGCGGCUUCGGCUGUCACUUAUGGAUGGACCCGCGUCGCAUUAGCUAGUUGGUGAGGUAACGGCUCACCAAGGCAACGAUGCGUAGCCGACCUGAGAGGGUGAUCGGCCACACUGGGACUGAGACACGGCCCAGACUCCUACGGGAGGCAGCAGUAGGGAAUCUUCCGCAAUGGACGAAAGUCUGACGGAGCAACGCCGCGUGAGUGAUGAAGGCUUUCGGGUCGUAAAACUCUGUUGUUAGGGRAGAACAAGUGCUAGUKAAUAAGCKGCAC
rnacentral:rRNA from 1 species